CAAGAUGUAGCUUAAUUGGCAGAGUGUUUGCUUUGGGAGUAAAUGGUAUGGGUUCGAUUCCCAACUUCUUGA
rnacentral:tRNA from 1 species